UACGGAGGGUGCGAGCGUUGUCUGGAAUCACUGGGCUUAAAGGGCGCGUAGGCGGGCUUGCAAGUCUGUGGUGAAAUCCUCCAGCCCAACUGGAGAACGGCCGUGGAUACUGCGAGUCUCGAGGGAGGUAGGGGCGUGCGGAACAGAUGGUGGAGCGGUGAAAUGCGUUGAUAUCAUCAUGGAACUCCGGUGGCGAAGGCGGCACGCUGGACCUCAUCUGACGCUGAGGCGCGAAAGCUAGGGGAGCAAACGGG
rnacentral:rRNA from 1 species